rnacentral:lncRNA from 10 species
CCUGUAAACGAUAAUGCCCAGGCAGGCACUGAAAGGAGUCACCGGAUACAGAGGUUCUGCAGAACUGUGGCCAUCUGCCCUACACCGGGGCAUGACGGAGAAUGCCCUCCACCCAUUCACACAGCAGGACUCUUCUCACAUGAUUCUGGCCUGAGGGAGAGGAAAGGACACCUGUCAAUGCUGGAGUUAGAGCUUCACUGCUUCUCAGCCAAUCGAUUUGACUUUAAAGCUGCUGAGAUGGCCCACUGCUUUUAGCACCUCUCCGAGCCAUGUGAGCCCCCUGAUGCCACCGAGCAGGGGCAGCUUCAUGACCGAUGUCUGGCUGAGGCUGUGGCGGACACUCUCGGGGUUGUCUGCAGGAGAGCAAGCCAGGAGGACAUGGGCCUGGACGACACGGCCUCGCAGCAAAGUGUGUCAGACGAGCAGUGACGGGCGUGCGGCCGGGCGGGGAGGCUGGCUCCCCCACACCUCCCACCUGCAUUGCUCUCCCUCGUGCUCCCCAAAUCACCACAACCAACCAAUACCGCGAUCCAUGAGGGACUCCUCCUGUGGAAAAGGAGAGCUGUUCCAGAACACAGAACUGAUCUCAGGUUUUUGA